rnacentral:tRNA from 1 species
UUAAAUGAAACCAAAUUUAGAGGUUUAUCACUGUUAAUGAUAAUAAUGAAAAAUAUUCCAUUUAAA